rnacentral:rRNA from 1 species
CACUUCUAAGGAAGGCAGCAGGCGCGCAAAUUACCCAAUCCUGACUCAGGGAGGUAGUGACAAGAAAUAACAAUAAACCGGCUUAUGCCGGCUUAAUUGGAAUGAGUACAAUUUAAACAUCUUAACGAGGAACAAUUGGAGGGCAAGUCUGGUGCCAGCAGCCGCGGUAAUUCCAGCUCCAAUAGCGUAUACUAAAGUUGUUGCAGUUAAAAAGCUCGUAGUUGGAUUUCUGUGGGGACGGAGCGGCCGGCCGCACAUCGCGGUUCGAGCUAGCGCUUUCCCUACAUCCUGCCGCGAACCGUGCUACCAUUAGUUUGGUGGCGCCGGGGAUCGGCUCGAUUACUUUGAGAAAAAUAGAGUGUUCAAAGCAGGCCACAUGCCUUGAAUAAGUUAGCAUGGAAUAAUAACUAAGGACUUCGGUUCUAUUUUGUUGGUGUUCGGGACUGAAGUAAUGAUUGAUAGGGACAGUUGGGGCGGUCUGUAUUCCAAAGCGAGAGGUGAAAUUCUUAGACCUUCGGAAGACAAACAGCUGCGAAAGCGUUCCGCAAGGAUGUUCCCUUUGAUCAAGAACGAAAGUUGGGGGAUCGAAGACGAUCAGAUACCGUCGUAGUCUCAACUAUAAACUAUACCAGCUAGGGAUCGGCCAACGUUAUUUUAUACCGACUUGGUCGGCACCUUAUGAGAAAUCAAAGCAUCUGGGUUCCGGGGGGAGUAUGGUCGCAAGGCUGAAACUUAAAGGAAUUGACGGAAGGGCACCACCAGCCGUGGAGCCUGUGGCUUAAUUUGACUCAACACGGGAAAACUUACCAGGUCCAGACAUAGUAAGGAUUGACAGAUUGAUAGCUCUUUCUUGAUUCUGUGGGUGGUGGUGCAUGGCCGUUCUUAGUUGGUGGAGUGAUUUGUCUGGUUAAUUCCGUUAACGAACGAGACCCCAGCCUGCUAAAUAGCGCGUGUGAGCUUUGCUCGCAGCGAGCUUCUUAGAGGGACUAUGAUGCGCGAUAGCACAUGGAAGUUUGGGGCAAUAACAGGUCUGUGAUGCCCUUAGAUGUUCUGGGCCGCACACGGGCUACACUGGCGCCUGCAUCGAGCAUAUCAGCUGGCCCGAGAGGGUCUUGGCUAAUCUUUUGAACCGGCGCCGUGCUUGGGAUUGACCUUUGCAAUUGUUGGUCAUGCAACGAGGAAUGCCUUGUAAACGCGAGUCAUCAGCUCGCAUUGAAUACGUCCCUGCCCUUUGUACACACCGCCCGUCGCUCCUACCGAUGAAUGUUCCGAUGAAAUUUUCGGAGAGCACCUGUGAACUUGGCUCUGCCUUGCGAACGGGAGGCUCAAAGUCACUUAAAUCUGAACAUUUCGAGG